CACCCUCCCUCACUCACACAUCGUAUCUGUAUGCAUAUCCAGCCAACAGCUCAGUCAGAUAAUCUCUCUCCUAAUAGAUUAUCUGAAGCGUGUUGUUUCCAGGAACGGUUUCUCAACAACCGGUUCUAGAUCUCGAAGUGAAUUCCUCUUUCUCUUCUCUUUCUCCGCAAAUCAAAAGAUUCGUAGAAAAUCUCAACAUUUUGCGCUCAAAGAUUGCGCCUAUUGAAACCCUGGCGCCGAGUGGCAGGUCGGUCCAGCGGACUGGGGACCCCGUGCGUAACGAUGAUGAUGAACCGCGUUCUUGCCCUCUGGUCUCCGGAGGACGGCGCUGACGACCCCUCCGCGUUUAUCUGAAGCGCCCGUAACAGAGAACAACAGACAGCGGAGCAGUGGAUGGACUACAUCCAUCCCAGCACAGCAAGGGGACGAUCUGGAGCAGCACUUCUACACUUCUACACACCAAAAAUAACAAGACACGUCCACCCAGUCUUGAGGGGCUGAUCUGCGUCAGAGACACAGAUGACCUGGUGCUGCUGUCCCCAACCAAAGAAGGCCUACAGGUGCACCUAGAUCCUCUGCACAGCUUCUCUCAAACCUGGGCCCUAACAGUGAACCUUAGUAAAACUAAAGUAAUGAUAUUUGAAAAAAGACCCAGCCUCAACAAAUACACAUUCCACCUAGACACUGUUACUGUAGAGCAAACAAAAAACUAUACCUACCUCGGCAUAAACAUGAACGCAACACGAAUUUCCACAAUGCUGUUAAUGACCUGAGAGACAAGGCAAGGAGGCCAUUUUAUGCCAUAAAAAGAAAUAUCAAACGAGACAUCCCAAUUAAGAUCUUAAGUCUGGGGCCCACUCACCAACCAAGAUUUUAUAAAAUGGGACAAACAUCAAAUUGAAACUCUUCAUGCAGAAUUCUGCAAAUCAAUACUGAAAGUCCAAAGAAAGACACCAAAUAAUGCCUGCAGAGCUUAAUUAGGACGAUAUCCAAUCGUUAUAAAAACUCAGAAGAGUGCCCUAAAAUGUUAUAACCACCUUAAGGAAAGCGACAGCAACACACUCCACAACAAGGCUCUUACCCACAGAGAGCUACACCCAGAAAAGUGUCCCCUUAGCCAGCUUGUCCUGGGACUCUGUCCAACACACAACAACCAACACAUCAGGCAAAACCAAAAUGUAAGAAAACAAAAGGAAAAGUAUUUGGCACAUUGGAAAGAGUCCACCAAAAACCAGAGUAAAUUGGCAUGCUGUUUGUCCCUUAACAGAGACUACACCGUGGCAGAAUACCUGACCACCGUGAACGACCCAAAACAGAGGAGAUCCUUGACCAGAUACAGACUCAGCAAACACAGCCUGGCCAUCGAGAAGGGACGCCACAGACAGACCUGGCUCCCAAGAGAAGACAGACUGUGCUCCCACUGCACACACAACCAACUAGAGACAGAACUGCACUUCCUGACCUCCUGCCAGUCAUACGAAGACAUCAGGAACACACACUUCCCACGGAUUACAAAGGCAAGCAAGGACUUCAAAGACACUCCAGAUGCUCACAAACUGCCAUACCUGUUGGGAGAAAUACAACAAUGUGCGAACACAGCAGCAAGAUUCGUCACCUGUUGUGAUGAGAGGAGGACCUCAAACUCCCCAUAGACUCAUCCCCCUGGACUCACUCUGCAAACAAUAAUUGCAUAAUCCUCCGUAAUGAAAAUACUCUGUAUUUAGAGUGUAUCUUUAAUUUAUCUGUUUAUAUGAGAUACUGUAAUUUUUGUAAUUUUUUAAGUACUUUUGUAGUAUAACAUUUGAUAUGUAUAGAUAUUUUGUAUUUAACGGUUUAUACUUAUUAUUAUUAUAAUAUAUACCUUACCUUUUUACUUUUUAUUUUAUAAUGC
ensembl:lncRNA